GUACACGCUGUGACUAGCAUAUCAAUAAGCGGAGGAAAAGAAACUAACAAGGAUUCCCCUAGUAACGGCGAGUGAAGCGGGAAGAGCUCAAAUUUGAAAUCUUAAAGGGUUUCCCUUUACGAAUUGUAGUUUAAAGAAGUGUUUUCUGUUGAGGUUUUGGUAAAAGUUCUUUGGAAUAGGACAUCAUAGAGGGUGAGAAUCCCGUAUUUGACCUUUACUUUCAACUUUGUGAUACACUUUCAAAGAGUCGGAUUGUUUGGGAAUGCAGUCCAAAAUGGGUGGUAAAUUUCAUCUAAAGCUAAAUAUUGGCGAGAGACCGAUAGCGAACAAGUACCGUGAGGGAAAGAUGAAAAGAACUUUGAAAAGAGAGUUAAACAGUACGUGAAAUUGUCAAAAGGGAAGCGUUUGACACCAGUGUUGUUUUUCUGAAAAUCAAUUAAAGAACUGUUUAUGCUAAGUUGUUUAGACUUUAUCAGCUAACUGUUUAGUUUUAGGCUUUUCUUUAAUGCACUUUUCAGUUAACAAGUCAACAUCAACUUCUUUUGCUGUAAAAAAGCUUGAGGAAGGUGGCUUGAGAUUCGUCUUAAGUGUUUAUAGCCUCUUGCCUAUGCAGUCGGAGAGAUUGAGGUCUGCAGCGUAGAUCCUUCGGGGCUAAAUGCAUUUGUGCUAAGUUAUAGCAUUUCAUAGACAACUUGUUGACUAUGAUUUGUCUUGUAGCUUACUCGCUUAUGUUAUUUUACCUACGCUUAGGAUGUUGAAGUCAUCGUAUCGCG
rnacentral:rRNA from 1 species